UAAAUCAGACCACAGUUAGAAAUGUAGAAGCUGCUCCUUCACAAUCUAAACCACCAUAUGAUAAGAGAAUAAUUGCCAAAGAAAGAACUCAGGUAUUGUUUAUAAGUUAGUUUUGUGUGUAUUUAAGAGUUGGAUGUAUGAAUUAUACUUAGUAAUCCUAUGAGUUAUGUGUUGUUGUAUUACUGCAGGCCAGAAAAGGAUGUGGCCUGCACAUAUCCACAAAGACUGGCAAUAUAUAUUUAGGAGUACGUACUCAACAUGUCAGAUGUGAAUCUCCAAUUUUAUGUGUGUUUUCAUAUGUUUCAUGUUCUAAAUAUAAAAUGUCACAUUGCAGAUGCCAAAGGAAAGGAAUGUGAGGACUGUUAGUGGUUAUACAGAAGCAGCAAUAGCAGCAAGGCAAUCUAGAAAGAGGUCUGACACCUAAAGAUCAACUACAGCUAGUCAUGAACAAAGUGUGAAAGUUUGUAGACAGACUUCAACAGCUAUAAAGGCAAAAGAGAAUGUGACUGUAUUUGAUAGGUUGUCUAAAAAAAGUGCAGCAACUAAUAUAUCAGUUAGUUCGAAAGGUAAAGAGAAGAUGGUAGCUACAAAGAUAAAGACUAGUAGGAAUGCAAAUUUAGUGAUUCAAGAAGGGCAACAUGUUUUGCCAAAGCCAAUGCAGACGUUUAAUAAGUUGUCUUAGAGAAGUUGCAUUACUGUAUUUUUGUAAUUUUGGAGUUGCAUGGAACAAAACUGUCAUUUUGACUUUAUCAAUUAGUU
rnacentral:lncRNA from 1 species